rnacentral:rRNA from 1 species
GACGAACGCUGGCGGCGUGCUUAACACAUGCAAGUCGAGCGGAAAGGCCCUUCGGGGUACUCGAGCGGCGAACGGGAGAGUAACACGUGAGUAAUCUGCCCCUGGCCUUGGGAUAACUACCGGAAACGGUGGCUAAUACUGGUACCGACAACCGUCUGCAUGGGCUGGUUGUGGAAAGUUUUUUCGGCCAGGGUUGUGCUCGCGGCCUUUCAGCUUGUUGGUGGGGUAAUGGCCUACCAAGGCUUCGACGGGUAGCCGGGCUGGGAGGGUGGACGGCCAGACUGGGACUGAGGCACGGCCGAGACGCCUACGAGAGGCAGCGGUGGGGAAAGUUGGAAAAUGGGCGGAAUCCUGGGCCGGCAGCGGCACGUGAGGGAUGAGGGGGAUGGGGUUGUAAGCGUCUUACAGUGCCGACGAAUCGGAGGUGAUGGUAGUGACGGUAGGUACAGAAGAAGCACCGGCCAACUACGUG